UCCCAUGUGGUCUCGUGGUUAGGAUACAUGGCUCUCACCCAUGGCGGCUCGUGUUCGAUUUUUGUCAUGGGAA